rnacentral:rRNA from 1 species
GGGUUGUGAGGUUAAGCGACUAAGCGUACACGGUGGAUGCCCUGGCAGUCAGAGGCGAUGAAGGACGUGCUAAUCUGCGAAAAGCGUCGGUAAGGUGAUAUGAACCGUUAUAGCCGGCGAUGUCCGAAUGGGGAAACCCAGUGCAAUUCGUUGCACUAUCGUUUGAUGAAUACAUAGUCAAACGAGGCGAACCGGGGGAACUGAAACAUCUAAGUACCCCGAGGAAAAGAAAUCAACCGAGAUUCCCCCAGUAGCGGCGAGCGAACGGGGAGCAGCCCGGAGUCUGAAUCAGCUUGUGUGUUAGUGGAAGCGUCUGGAAAGUCGCAGGGUACAGGGUGAUACUCCCGUACACUAAAACACACAGGUUGUGAACUCGAAGAGUAGGGCGGGACACGUGGUAUCCUGUCUGAAUAUGGGGGGACCAUCCUCCAAGGCUAAAUACUCCUGACUGACCGAUAGUGAACCAGUACCGUGAGGGAAAGGCGAAAAGAACCCCGGCGAGGGGAGUGAAAAAGAACCUGAAACCGUGUACGUACAAGCAGUAGGAGCCCACUUGUUGGGUGACUGCGUACCUUUUGUAUAAUGGGUCAGCGACUUAUAUUCUGUAGCAAGGUUAACCGUAUAGGGGAGCCGCAGGGAAACCGAGUCUUAACUGGGCGUUAAGUUGCAGGGUAUAGACCCGAAACCCGGUGAUCUAGCCAUGGGCAGGUUGAAGGUUGGGUAACACUAACUGGAGGACCGAACCGACUAAUGUUGAAAAAUUAGCGGAUGACUUGUGGCUGGGGGUGAAAGGCCAAUCAAACCGGGAGAUAGCUGGUUCUCCCCGAAAGCUAUUUAGGUAGCGCCUCGUGAACUCAUCUUCGGGGGUAGAGCACUGUUUCGGCUAGGGGGUCAUCCCGACUUACCAACCCGAUGCAAACUACGAAUACCGAAGAAUGUUAUCACGGGAGACACACGGCGGGUGCUAACGUCCGUCGUGAAGAGGGAAACAACCCAGACCGCCAGCUAAGGUCCCAAAGUCAUGGUUAAGUGGGAAACGAUGUGGGAAGGCCCAGACAGCCAGGAUGUUGGCUUAGAAGCAGCCAUCAUUUAAAGAAAGCGUAAUAGCUCACUGGUCGAGUCGGCCUGCGCGGAAGAUGUAACGGGGCUAAACCAUGCACCGAAGCUGCGGCAGCGACACUAUGUGUUGUUGGGUAGGGGAGCGUUCUGUAAGCCGUUGAAGGUGGCCUGUGAGGGUUGCUGGAGGUAUCAGAAGUGCGAAUGCUGACAUAAGUAACGAUAAUGCGGGUGAAAAACCCGCACGCCGGAAGACCAAGGGUUCCUGUCCAACGUUAAUCGGGGCAGGGUGAGUCGACCCCUAAGGCGAGGCCGAGAGGCGUAGUCGAUGGGAAACAGGUUAAUAUUCCUGUACUCGGUGUUACUGCGAAGGGGGGACGGAGAAGGCUAUGUUGGCCGGGCGACGGUUGUCCCGGUUUAAGCAUGUAGGCGGAUGUUCCAGGUAAAUCCGGAACGUCACUAACGCUGAGGUGUGAUGACGAGGCACUACGGUGCUGAAGUGACAAAUGCCCUGCUUCCAGGAAAAGCCUCUAAGCAUCAGGUAACAUCAAAUCGUACCCCAAACCGACACAGGUGGUCAGGUAGAGAAUACCAAGGCGCUUGAGAGAACUCGGGUGAAGGAACUAGGCAAAAUGGUGCCGUAACUUCGGGAGAAGGCACGCUGAUGGUAGGUGAAGCGACUUGCUCGUGGAGCUGAAAUCAGUCGAAGAUACCAGCUGGCUGCAACUGUUUAUUAAAAACACAGCACUGUGCAAACACGAAAGUGGACGUAUACGGUGUGACGCCUGCCCGGUGCCGGAAGGUUAAUUGAUGGGGUUAUCCGUAAGGAGAAGCUCUUGAUCGAAGCCCCGGUAAACGGCGGCCGUAACUAUAACGGUCCUAAGGUAGCGAAAUUCCUUGUCGGGUAAGUUCCGACCUGCACGAAUGGCGUAAUGAUGGCCAGGCUGUCUCCACCCGAGACUCAGUGAAAUUGAACUCGCUGUGAAGAUGCAGUGUACCCGCGGCAAGACGGAAAGACCCCGUGAACCUUUACUAUAGCUUGACACUGAACACUGGUCCUUGAUGUGUAGGAUAGGUGGGAGGCUUUGAAGUGUGGACGCCAGUCUGCAUGGAGCCAUCCUUGAAAUACCACCCUUUAAUGGCUGGUGUUCUAACGUGGGCCCCUGAUCGGGGUUGCGGACAGUGUCUGGUGGGUAGUUUGACUGGGGCGGUCUCCUCCUAAAGAGUAACGGAGGAGCACGAAGGUCAGCUAAUCCUGGUCGGACAUCAGGAGGUUAGUGCAAUGGCAUAAGCUGGCUUGACUGCGAGCGUGACGGCGCGAGCAGGUGCGAAAGCAGGUCAUAGUGAUCCGGUGGUUCUGAAUGGAAGGGCCAUCGCUCAACGGAUAAAAGGUACUCCGGGGAUAACAGGCUGAUACCGCCCAAGAGUUCAUAUCGACGGCGGUGUUUGGCACCUCGAUGUCGGCUCAUCACAUCCUGGGGCUGAAGUAGGUCCCAAGGGUAUGGCUGUUCGCCAUUUAAAGUGGUACGCGAGCUGGGUUUAGAACGUCGUGAGACAGUUCGGUCCCUAUCUGCCGUGGGCGCUGGAGAAUUGAGGGGGGCUGCUCCUAGUACGAGAGGACCGGAGUGGACGCAUCACUGGUGUUCGGGUUGUCAUGCCAAUGGCAUUGCCCGGUAGCUAAAUGCGGAAGAGAUAAGUGCUGAAAGCAUCUAAGCACGAAACUUGCCCCGAGAUGAGUUCUCCCUGACUCCUUGAGAGUCCUGAAGGAACGUUGAAGACGACGACGUUGAUAGGCCGGGUGUGUAAGCGCAGCGAUGCGUUGAGCUAACCGGUACUAAUGAACCGUGAGGCUUAACCUUACAACGCCGAAG